rnacentral:rRNA from 1 species
UCAGAUUGAACGCUGGCGGCAGGCCUAACACAUGCAAGUCGAGCGGUAACAUUUCUAAGCUUGCUUAGAAGAUGACGAGCGGCGGACGGGUGAGUAAUGCUUGGGGAUCUGCCUGAUGGCGGGGGACAACCACUGGAAACGGUGGCUAAUACCGCAUAAUACCUAUGGGUCAAAGUGUGGGACCUUCGGGCCACACGCCAUCAGAUGAACCCAAGUGAGAUUAGCUGGUUGGUAGGGUAACGGCUUACCAAGGCGACGAUCUCUAGCUGGUCUGAGAGGAUGAUCAGCCACACUGGGACUGAGACACGGCCCAGACUCCUACGGGAGGCAGCAGUGGGGAAUAUUGGACAAUGGGGGCAACCCUGAUCCAGCCAUGCCGCGUGUGUGAAGAAGGCCUUCGGGUUGUAAAGCACUUUCAGUGGUGAGGAAGGUGGUGUCGUUAAUAGCGGCAUCAAUUGACGUUAGCCACAGAAGAAGCACCGGCUAACUCCGUGCCAGCAGCCGCGGUAAUACGGAGGGUGCGAGCGUUAAUCGGAAUUACUGGGCGUAAAGCGCACGUAGGCGGUAUGUUAAGCAAGAUGUGAAAGCCCAGAGCUCAACUCUGGAAUAGCAUUUUGAACUGGCAUGCUAGAGUUUUGGAGAGGGUGGUAGAAUUU